rnacentral:misc_RNA from 1 species
AACAUCGCGCACCUGCGGGAACCUGCGGAAGGAUCAUUACAGAGUGUAAAAACUCCCAAAACCCAUGUGAACAUACCUUUUUGUUGCUUCGGCGGGAUCGCCCCGGGCGCCUUGUGUGCCCCGGAGUCAGGCGCCCGCCGGGGGACCCAAACUCUUGUUUUUAACGAGUAUCUUCUGAGUAACGUUUUUAAAUAAAUAAAAACUUUCAACAACGGAUCU